GCCGUGGGCUGUGAAGGCAGAGGUAGAGGUGGAGAAGUUUGAGGACCAGAGUCCACGGCCGAGGAGUCAAAGAGGACUGCCAGGACACGGGAGAUAAACGAGGCCGUUGUGGCAAUAUGGAAGGAAGGUCCCUCGUGGGGAAAAGGAGCUACAAAUGGAGAGAACGCGAAGGGAAGUAGCAGGACGGGCCGGAGCAGGCCCCGGAUAAAUAAAAAGCACCCCUGAUUCAUCUGCAUCCCGAGUCAGAUGCUGCUGAGAAAGUGCAGACCCCCACCUAGGCGGGGAAAGGAGAGGGUCGCGUCAUCUUGGCCACGUGCUCAGCUGGUUUCUUCCUUUCGUGCCCUCCCCAGCUGUGCUCUCCAGGUUCAGCACCUUCUACUCCUCCAUCUUCCCUUCUCUCACAUGAGCAGAGUAAAACCCCGCAGACACAAAUGCGCUGUGAUUGAGACUUUAAUGGCGGUGCUUAUUUCAAAGCCAGAGAGGUGGUGGCAACUGUGGAACACGGCGCGGGGAGGUGAGACAGCGCUCUGGUGCAGUUGGAGGGAGAAUGGGACCUGGGGCUGGAGAGAGGUUUGUAGGAGAAGAGCCUGCAGGCUCACAGCCCUGUUCUCCGCCAGCCCCGGCUUCAGUCAGUGCACACCACCAAACUGAUGCUAAGGCCUUUCCUGUUACCCUUCCUAUCCUAGCAAGACCUCCCACGCCGGUCAUCUUGGGAUCUGCAGCCACAUGAAAGUAUAGAUGCCCAGUCAAGUCAAGCCAGUUGUAGACCCUAAGGUCAUGAGAUAAUUAAUGGAAUGAAUAAAAAUGAAUGAAUGAAUGAAUA